AGAGUUUGAUCAUGGCUCAGAACGAACGCUGGCGGCAUGCCUAAUACAUGCAAGUCGCACGAGAAAGUCCUCGGGAUGAGUAGAGUGGCGCACGGGUGAGUAAUGCAUAGGAACGUACCAUCGGGUGGGGAAUAACCACGGGAAACUGUGGCUAAUACCGCAUGAUGUCGAGAGACCAAAGCAGCCCUCUGUUUACAAGG
rnacentral:rRNA from 1 species